UUGAUCAAGCUACAAAGAGCGCAUCAUGGAUGCCUUGGUGCCAAUAGGCGAUGAAGGACGUGGUAAGCUGCGAUAAGUCACGGAUAGCGGCAAACACGCUUUGACCCGUGAAUGUCCGAAUGGGAUAACCUGAGUGGGGUAACACCUGCUCGAGCUUGUGUGAAUUCAUAGCACAAGCAUCGCGAAACCCGGUGAAGUGAAACAUCUCAGUAACCGGAGGAAUAGAAAUCGAAAGAGAUUCCGUAAGUAGUGGCGAGCGAAAGCGGAAGAGACCAAACCGGUCAAUUUAUUGACCGGGGUUGUAGGAGCCCGAUGUGGUAGUGCAAAGGUUAGGUGAAGCUUCUGGAAAGCUGCGCCAUAGAGGGUGAAAGGCCCGUAACCGAAAACUGGAGCACGCCUAGGGAUUUCCUGAGUAAUACGAUGCACGUGAAACUUCGUAUGAAUCUGCGCCGACCACGGCGUAAGUCUAAAUACUAAUUGGCGACCGAUAGUGAACCAGUACCGCGAGGGAAAGGUGAAAAGAACCGCUGUGAGCGGAGUGAAAUAGUACCUGAAAUGAUGUGCUUACAAGGUGUGGAAGCCGGGCAACCGGUGACCGCGUGCCUUUUGCUUAAUGAGUCUGCGAGUUACUGUCAGUGGCGAGCCUAAGUCGUUCUGCGAUGGAGGCGAAGCGAAAGCGAGUCCGAAAUGGGCGAAUUUAGUCGCUGGUAGUAGACCCGAAGCCGAGGUGAUCUACCCAUGAGCAGGUUGAAGGUUGCUUAACCGCAACUGAAGGACCGAACCCGUGAAGGUUGAAAACUUCUGGGAUGACUUGUGGGUAGGAGCGAAAGACUAAUCAAACCCGGUGAUAGCUGGUUCUCCCCGAAAUAGCUUGAGGGCUAGCCUCGUGUGCUGACCUGCGGAGGUAGAGCACUGGAUGAACUAGGGCCCAUACCAGGGUACCGAACUCAAUCAAACUCCGAAUGCCGCAGGGUGUAACACGGGAGUCAGUGCGUGGGGGAUAAGCUUCACGCGCGAGAGGCAAACAUGCCAGACCAGCAGCUAAGGUGCCCAAAUACCGUUCAGUGGAAAGGAUGUGAGGUUGCACAGACAGUGAGGAUGUUGGCUUAGAGGCAGCCAUCAUUUAAACAGUGCGUAACAGCUGACUCAUCGAGCGAUCUCGCGCCGAUAAUGAUUGGCGAUAAGCGGUAUACCGAAGCUCUGGAAGACGUUCUGGUUCGCCAGGACGGAUUGGUAGGGGAGCGUUGUAGCGACAUCGAAGCAGGAGCGGAAGCAACUGUGGAGUUUCUACAAGUGAGAAUGCAGACAUGAGUAGCGAUAAGCCAGGUUAAAUUCCUGGCCGCCGUAAACCCAAGGUUUCCUGGGGAAGGUUCGUCCUCCCAGGGUUAGUCGGGACCUAAGUCGAGGCCGAAGGGCGUAGACGAUGGACAGCAGGUUUAAUAUUCCUGCACCGGCUGUGGUUAAGUUUAGUUGUGACAUAUGAGUAGAGACAGGCCGUCGAUUGAAAGUGACGGUCUGCCCGCAAGGGCAAGGACGGGGAGGCCUCGGCUGAACCGGAUCUGUUAAAACUUGUAUCAAGAAAACCAACUAAAUGUUCCCACGGUUGCCCGUACCGUAAUCCGACACAGGUGGGUGGGUAGAGUAUACCCAGGCGCGUGAGUGAAACCUCGUUAAGGAACUCGGCAAUCUAGCCCCGUAACUUCGGAAGAAGGGGUGCCCCGCACCAUUUUGGUGAUUAAAAACAUGAGUUAUAUCUACGUAUUACAAAGUCCGGACGGCUCGGACAUCUACAUCGGCUUCAGUAAGGAUCUGAAACGAAGGAUGGCCGAGCAUGAACGGAGUGUGCAUCCCGGUUGGAGGCUCGUUUAUUACGAAGCAUACCAAUCGGAGAGUGAUGCGAGACGGCGAGAACGUCGUCUGAAGGAUCACGGCAAUGCAGUAAGACAACUCAAGCAGCGAAUCAAAGAUUCCUGGGACAAGCAGUCGUCCUAAUCUCUGGUCACCAAAAUGGUGCGGGGUCGCAGUGAAAUGGGUCAACCGACUGUUUAACAAAAACACAGCACUCUGCAAAGUCGUAAGACGACGUAUAGGGUGUGACACGUGACCAAUGCGGAAAGAUUAUGGUAAGUGGUUAGUCCCGCGCAAGCGGGACGAAGCUACGAGCCGAAGUCCCCGUGAAUGUCGGCCGUAACUAUAACGGUCCUAAGGUAG
rnacentral:rRNA from 1 species